UGUUGCACUGCUUGAAGACCUGUUGAUCAAACCCUCUGGUGCGAAAAACUAGAACCCAUCAUGCACCAGGGAAACGAGCCGCUCGGAAACAUCAUCUGGGAAGCUGCGAUGAUUUUCCUUCAGAAGAUGUCUCUGGAAACCUCUGAGGCUCUGGACAUCAGGAAUAGUUGCAGAACGAGCGUUUGAGAAGAAAACCACACAGAGAAAC